rnacentral:rRNA from 1 species
CCUACGGGAGGCAGCAGUGGGGAAUUUUGCGCAAUGGGGGAAACCCUGACGCAGCAACGCCGCGUGGAGGAUGAAGUAUCUUGGUACGUAAACUCCUUUCGAUGGGGAAGAUAAUGACGGUACCCAUAGAAGAAGCCCCGGCUAACUUCGUGCCAGCAGCCGCGGUAAU